GUUGGGCCGUACAGCUGGAUUUUCGGAAGGCAGUUCUGAUAGGCUUCAACCACACCCUGGAUACCUGUAACAAAUGCCACAAGAUGCCAGAUGAGUAAUGAGUCUUGUACCAGCUAGAAAAAAUGGUUAAACUGGGCGACCUAUGCUGAGGCUUCCAAUAUCAUCGCUACGUGAAGACCAUGCUUAGAACGGAGAAGGAAAGAGCGCUGGCUCUCCUGCAACAUUGCGAGGCCCGUGGUGCAUCGGAGGAGCACAUAGUAUGUGCUUCAGCAAUUCUCAUCGUGCUCUUUCGGGCAGAAAAGCUGUCAAUGAAGAGGCACCCCUGCCAAUUCCAAACGUCUGAGACCUGUUUAAAUUACUGAAUAAAGAUCAUCUCAUCUAUAAGGUCUCAUUGUAGUUCCUGCAGUUUAUUGGUUCAAUCAACAGCUUCAUUAGAUAAACUAAGGUUAAUUAAAAGAUAUCAUUACUUUGGAGGGCAGUGAACUAAUGACUAGCAGAGGGUAAGGACAAAGAAACUUUAAACAAAGGGAAAUUAAGGCUAGAUUAAUCAAUCAAUGCGGUGAUUUAGAGUGAAUGACAUCCACCAAGUGA